rfam:Rattus norvegicus chromosome 10, whole genome shotgun sequence.
GGGGAUUUAGUUCAGUGGUAGAGCGCUUGCCUAGCAAGCACAAGGCCCUGGGUUCAGUCCCCAGCUCCG